GAUGAACGCUGGCGGCGUGCCUAAUACAUGCAAGUCGAGCGAACAGAUGAGGAGCUUGCUCCUCUGACGUUAGCGGCGGACGGGUGAGUAACACGUGGAUAACCUACCUAUAAGACUGGGAUAACUUCGGGAAACCGGAGCUAAUACCGGAUAAUAUAUUGAACCGCAUGGUUCAAUAGUGAAAGACGGGUUUGCUGUCACUUAUAGAUGGAUCCGCGCCGCAUUAGCUAGUUGGUAAGGUAACGGCUUACCAAGGCAACGAUGCGUAGCCGACCUGAGAGGGUGAUCGGCCACACUGGAACUGAGACACGGUCCAGACUCCUACGGGAGGCAGCAGUAGGGAAUCUUCCGCAAAGGGCGAAAGCCUGACGGAGCAACGCCGCGUGAGUGAUGAAGGUCUUCGGAUCGUAAAACUCUGUUAUUAGGGAAGAACAAAUGUGUAAGUAACUAUGCACGUCUUGACGGUACCUAAUCGGAAAGCCACGGCUAACUACGUG
rnacentral:rRNA from 1 species